GGUAGUGUGGCCGAGCGGUCUAAGGCACUGGAUCCAAAUUCCAAUCCUGAAGAAGGCGUGGGUUCGAAUCCCACCACUGCCA